GGGUUGUGAGGUUAAGCGACUAAGCGUACACGGUGGAUGCCCUGGCAGUCAGAGGCGAUGAAGGACGUGCUAAUCUGCGUAAAGCGUCGGUAAGGUGAUAUGAACCGCUACAGCCGACGAUGUCCGAAUGGGGAAACCCGGUGCACUCUGUGCAUCAUCGCAACAUGAAUACAUAGUGUUGCGAGGCGAACCUGGGGAACUGAAACAUCUAAGUACCCAGAGGAAAAGAAAUCAACCGAGAUUCCCCCAGUAGCGGCGAGCGAACGGGGAGCAGCCCAGAACCUGAAUCAGUUUGUGCAUUAGUGGAAGCGUCUGGAAAGUCGCAGGGUACAGGGUGAUACUCCCGUACACAAAAAUGCACUUACUGUGAGUUCGAAGAGUAGGGCGGGACACGUGGUAUCCUGUCUGAAUAUGGGGGGACCAUCCUCCAAGGCUAAAUACUCCUGACUGACCGAUAGUGAACCAGUACCGUGAGGGAAAGGCGAAAAGAACCCCGGCGAGGGGAGUGAAACAGAACCUGAAACCGUGUACGUACAAGCAGUGGGAGCCUGAUUUGUCAGGUGACUGCGUACCUUUUGUAUAAUGGGUCAGCGACUUAUAUUCUGUAGCAAGGUUAACCGUAUAGGGGAGCCGCAGGGAAACCGAGUCUUAACUGGGCGUUAAGUUGCAGGGUAUAGACCCGAAACCCGGUGAUCUAGCCAUGGGCAGGUUGAAGGUUGGGUAACACUAACUGGAGGACCGAACCGACUAAUGUUGAAAAAUUAGCGGAUGACUUGUGGCUGGGGGUGAAAGGCCAAUCAAACCGGGAGAUAGCUGGUUCUCCCCGAAAGCUAUUUAGGUAGCGCCUCGUGAACUCAUCUUCGGGGGUAGAGCACUGUUUCGGCUAGGGGGCCAUCCCGGCUUACCAACC
rnacentral:rRNA from 1 species